rnacentral:tRNA from 1 species
GUUAAUUAGGCAGAGUUAUUGUAUCAAAUUUAGAAUUUGAAUAUGGAUUAUACCAAUUAAUA